rnacentral:rRNA from 1 species
ACCCUUGACAUGUCUGGAAUCCUGAAGAGAUUUGGGAGUGCUCGCAAGAGAACCGGAACACAGGUGCUGCAUGGCUGUCGUCAGCUCGUGUCGUGAGAUGUUGGGUUAAGUCCCGCAACGAGCGCAACCCUUGUCAUUAGUUGCUACGAAAGGGCACUCUAAUGAGACUGCCGGUGACAAACCGGAGGAAGGUGGGGAUGACGUCAAGUCCUCAUGGCCCUUAUGGGUAGGGCUUCACACGUCAUACAAUGGUCGGGACAGAGGGUCGCCAACCCGCGAGGGGGAGCCAAUCCCAGAAACCCGAUCGUAGUCCGGAUUGCAGUCUGCAACUCGACUGCAUGAAGUCGGAAUCGCUAGUAAUCGCGGAUCAGCAUGUCGCGGUGAAUACGUUCCCGGGUCUUGUACACACCGCCCGUCACACCAUGGGAGUGGGUUUUACCAGAAGUAGUUAGCCUAACCGCAAGGGGGGCGAUUACCACGGUAGGAUUCAUGACUGGGGUGAAGUCGUAACAAGGUAGGCGUAGUGCU